AGAGGGGUGUCCGAGUGGUUGAAGGAGCACGCCUGGAAAGUGUGUAUACGAGUAAUUGUAUCGAGGGUUCGAAUCCCUUCCCCUCUG
rnacentral:tRNA from 1 species